rnacentral:rRNA from 1 species
CGCGUAGGUGGUAGUGUAAGUCUGGGGUGGAAUCCCAGGGCUUAACCCUGGAACUGCCUUGGAAACUGUAUUACUUGAGUCAGUGAGGGGAGGGUAGAAUUCCUGGUGUAGCGGUGAAAUGCGUAGAUAUCAGGAGGAAGGCCCGUGGCGAAGGCGGCCCUCUGGCGCUGGACUGACACUGAGGCGCGAAAGCGUGGGGAGCAAACAGGAUUAGAUACCCUGGUAGUCCCACGCCCUAAACGGUGGGCACUAGGUGUAGGGCUCGUAAGGGUUCUGUGCCGAAGGGAACCAUUAAGUGCCCCGCCUGGGGAGUACGGCCGCAAGGUUGAA